rnacentral:rRNA from 1 species
GUGCUAAGGUAGCAUGGUAAGUCGUUCAUUAAUUGUGGACUGGUAUGAAUGUAUAUACGAGGUUGCUACUGUCUCUUGAGUAGUAUGUAAAAAUUAUGCGUCAGGUGAAGACACCUGGAUAUUUAUAAAGGACAAGAAGACCCCGUUGAGCUUUAGUUUGAUGUCAUAUUGGUGAGUGGCGGAGUGGGCUUCGGUUGGGGCAAUCAGAGCCGAUUUAAAGCGACUUUUUAAAUUAUUAAAAGGUUUAUGGACCUGCUUUGGGCAUCGAUCUACAUGGUAGUAGUGAGGAGACAAGCUACCACGGGGGUAACAGGCUAAUCCACCUUGACAGGCCCAAUUGAUUGGUGGGUUUGGC